rnacentral:rRNA from 1 species
AGCGAACGCUGGCGGCAGGCCUAACACAUGCAAGUCGAACGAAGUCUUCGGACUUAGUGGCGGACGGGUGAGUAACACGUGGGAACGUGCCUUUAGGUUCGGAAUAACUCAGGGAAGCUUGUGCUAAUACCGAAUGUGCCCUUCGGGGGAAAGAUUUAUCGCCUUUAGAGCGGCCCGCGUCUGAUUAGCUAGUUGGUGGGGUAAUGGCCCACCAAGGCUACGAUCAGUAGCUGGUCUGAGAGGAUGACCAGCCACAUUGGGACUGAGACACGGCCCAAACUCCUACGGGAGGCAGCAGUGGGGAAUCUUGCGCAAUGGGCGAAAGCCUGACGCAGCCAUGCCGCGUGGAUGAUGAAGGUCUUAGGAUUGUAAAAUCCUUUCACCGGUGAAGAUAAUGACUGUAGCCGGAGAAGAAGCCCCGGCUAACUUCGUACCAGCAGCCGCGGUAAGAC